rnacentral:tRNA from 1 species
AUAUGUAACGAAUAUUCUCCUUUAAAACCACAAUUUAAUAUACUUAAAUACUUUUUACACU